rnacentral:lncRNA from 1 species
CUUUGCUAUGAGACUCGAAAUUGAGCUCAUGUGCAUCCUGUUUCCAUUGAUCAUCCUUGUUUCCAUUGAUGUUUCUACUCCUUGAUUGGAGUCCACCUGUGAUAAAUUCAGUUGAUUGGACAUGAUUUGGAAAGGCACACACCUGUCUAUAUAAGGUCCCACAGUUGACAGUGCAUGUCAGAGCAAAAACCAAGCCAUGAAGUAGGAGGAAUUGUCCAUAGAGCUCAGAGACAGGAUUGUGUCGAGGCACAGAUAUGGGGAAGGGUACUAAAACAAUUAUGCAACAUUGAAGAUCCCCCAAGAACACAGUGGCCUCCAUCAUUCUUAAAUGGAACAAGUUUGGAACCACGAAGACACUUCCUAGAGCUGGCCGCCCGGCCAAACUGGGCAAUCAGGGAGAAGGGCCUUGACAAGGCACAUGACAAGCCACUUGGGGUUUGCCAAAAGGCACCUAAAGAACUCUCAGACCAUGAGAAACAAGAUUAUCUGGUCUGAUGAAACCUUUGGCUUUGGCCUGAAUGCCAGCGUCACGUCUGGAGGAAACCUGGCACCAUCCCUACGGUGACACAUGGUGGUGGCAGCAUCAUGCUGUGGGGAUGUUUUUCAGAGGCAGGGACUGGGAGACUAGUCAGGAUCAAGGCAAAGAUGAUCGAAGCAAAGUUCAGAGAGAACCUUGAUGAAGAUCUGCUCCAGUGCUGAAGACCUCAGACCGGGACGAAGGUUCACCUUCCAACAGGAAGCACACAGCCAAGACAAUGCAGGAAUGGCUUCGGGACACGUCUUUGAAUGUCCUUGAGUGGCCCAGCCAGAGCCCGGACGUGAACCCGAUCGAAUAUCUCAUGAGAGACCUGAAAAUAGCUGUGCAGCAACGCUCCCCAUCCAACCUGACAGAGUUUGAGAGGAUCUGCAGAGAAGAAUGGGAGAAACUCCCCAAAUACAGGUGUGCCAAGCUUGUAGCGUCAUACCCAAGAAGACUCGAGGCUGUAAUCGCUGCCAAAGGUGCUUCAACAAAGUACUGAGUAAAGGGUCUAAAUACUUAUGGUGGUGGUGGUGGUGGUGAUGAUGGUGCAGAUCAGUGUUUUCCCCGCAGCAUUCACGUGUAGAUGUUGUGUCUGUACUGCAGACAGUCACUCUCUGGUUGGAGCUAGAUCUUCUCCAAGCUCGUCUCCUUUCCUAAGCUGAGUACAAAAGCACAGGUCCAGUCCGCACAAUAACUGAAGCCUUAGACAACUUAUUUCAAGACAAUAAAUGGAUUCUUCAUUUACAUUACAUUUCUUCUUCUUCUGUACAUCCUGUCCAACAACAUCGCAUUUAAAGUGGCUGAUUUUACAUCUUGUAAGGUGUUUAAAAUAACAAAUAUAAUGGAAUCAUUGGAGAGGAAAGUCAGAAAGACUGGCAGGCUGGCAGGUAGAGAGAGACAGAGGUUUGCAGCUCAUUGAGCCACUGAGAGUCUUCAACCAAAACCACAGAAAAUACCUGCUUUUAAAAGAAAGGGUUGAGGACAGCGACCAGUGUUGUCUUUCCUGUGAAACUCAAGUAAAAAAUAAAUAAAAGUAUUAUUCUGCUCCAACCUCC